rnacentral:rRNA from 1 species
GACGAACGCUGGCGGCGCGCCUAACACAUGCAAGUCGAACGGAGCUGAGAGAAGCUUGCUUUUCUUAGCUUAGUGGCGAACGGGUGAGUAACGCGUGAGUAACCUGCCCUGGAGUGGGGGACAACAGUUGGAAACGACUGCUAAUACCGCAUAAGCCCACGAUCCGGCAUCGGAUUGAGGGAAAAGGAUUUAUUCGCUUCAGGAUGGACUCGCGUCCAAUUAGCUAGUUGGUGAGGUAACGGCCCACCAAGGCGACGAUUGGUAGCCGGACUGAGAGGUUGAACGGCCACAUUGGGACUGAGACACGGCCCAGACUCCUACGGGAGGCAGCAGUGGGGGAUAUUGCACAAUGGGGGAAACCCUGAUGCAGCGACGCCGCGUGGAGGAAGAAGGUUUUCGGAUUGUAAACUCCUGUCGUAGGGACGAUAAUGACGGUACCUAACAAGAAAGCACCGGCUAACUACGUG